GCCCAGUGAUGAGUCUAUGGCAUCUAUGAGCUGAAUGACUGAGAGAUUGUGCUCUGUAAGUGGUGGGUAAUCUUGGCUGAGCAGUGGAGACUGACUGCCUCGCUGUAAGGGCCCACCUACAGUAAUGCAAGCAAUUAAUCAGGAUUCUAUGCUUCCCAAAAGAAAUGGGUUUAGCAAAUUGAUGGGAGCUUGCACAUUCUCAUUCUCUCCCUCUUUCUCUCUCUCUCUCCCUCUCUCUCUCUCUCUCUCUCUGUCUCUCUCUCUCUCACAAUAGUCACGUUUCUCUUUGUGGUCAAACAGCUUUGAGUGUGUUCUUUGGUAAUCUGAGGGCA